rnacentral:lncRNA from 1 species
CUGCUAGGCAGGCCUCCUGCGCUCUUCACUGCCUCUAGCAGCGUCUUGAAACAGCUGGCUCUGGAAGGCAUCCUGAUUCUGGAUUCAAGAGCUUUGCUUGGAUUUCUGUAUGAAGCAGAGAGGUUGUACUGGGUUGAGAGAGAGGCCUCAGAAUCAAGACCUUGUCUCCUGCCACAGUUUCCCUGGUGAAGCUCCCAGGCUGAGCACAAACUUCCAGGUCGAGCACAGAAGUUUCGACCUGGAAACUUCAGCCCUCAGAGAGGAGGUGGCACUAACGCUCUAGGUGGGCGGCUGCUCUAUGGUCUUCUGCUGCCUGGAGAGCUUUGCCUCCAUCACUGGUGCCCACCUGGGGAAUGCUCAGGAACUACUCUUCAAAAGUACACUCGGAUGCCCACUCUGCAAAGCCAUUUUGUUUCCUUA